rnacentral:rRNA from 1 species
GAUGAACGCUGGCGGCGUGCCUAAUACAUGCAAGUCGAGCGAAUGGAUUGAGAGCUUGCUCUUAUGAAGUUAGCGGCGGACGGGUGAGUAACACGUGGGUAACCUGCCCAUAAGACUGGGAUAACUCCGGGAAACCGGGGCUAAUACCGGAUAACAUUUUGAACCGCAUGGUUCGAAAUUGAAAGGCGGCUUCGGCUGUCACUUAUGGAUGGACCCGCGUCGCAUUAGCUAGUUGGUGAGGUGACGGCUCACCAAGGCAACGAUGCGUAGCCGAGCUGAGAGGGUGAUCGGCCACACUGGGACUGAGACACGGCCCAGACUCCUACGGGAGGCAGCAGUAGGGAAUCUUCCGCAAUGGACGAAAGUCUGACGGAGCAACGCCGCGUGAGUGAUGAAGGCUUUCGGGUCGUAAAACUCUGUUGUUAGGGAAGAACAAGUGCUAGUUGAAUAAGCUGGCACCUUGACGGUACCUAACCAGAAAGCCACGGCUAACUACGUGCCAGCCGCCGCAGUAA